AGAGUUUGAUCAUGGCUCAGAACGAACGCUGGCGGCUGAUAAGACAUGCAAGUCGAACGCUGAUUUCAAGGUAGCAAUAUUUUGAAGUUGGAGUGGCGCAAGGGUGUGUAACACGUGGGUAAUCUGCCGUGAAGCCUGGGAUAACUUGCUGAAAGGCGAGCUAAUACCGGAUGUGAAAAUUGGAAGGCAUCUUUUGAUUUUCAAAGUUGGGGACCGCAAGGCCUGACGCUUUAUGAUGAACCCGCGGCCUAUCAGCUAGUUGGUGAGGUAAUAGCUCACCAAGGCUAAGACGGGUAGCUGGUCUGAGAGGACGACCAGCCACACUGGAACUGAGACACGGUCCAGACACCUACGGGUGGCAGCAGUCGAGAAUUUUUCUCAAUGGGGGAAACCCUGAAGGAGCGACGCCGCGUGGGGGAUGAAUGGCUUCGGCCCGUAAACCCCUGUCAUUCGGGAUCAAUGCUUGUUACUUAACACGUAAUAAGUUGAUAGUACCGGAAGAGGAAGGGACGGCUAACUCUGUGCCAGCAGCCGCGGUAAUACAGAGGUCCCAAGCGUUGUUCGGAUUUACUGGGCGUAAAGGGUGCGUAGGUGGUUGGGUAAGUCUGAUGUGAAAUCUCCGGGCUCAACCCGGAAAUGGCAUUGGAUACUACUUGACUCGAGGAUUGGAGGGGGGACUGGAAUACUUGGUGUAGCAGUGAAAUGCGUAGAUAUCAAGUGGAACACCAGUGGCGAAGGCGAGUCCCUGGACAACUCCUGACACUGAGGCACGAAAGCUAGGGGAGCAAACAGGAUUAGAUACCCUAGUAGUCC
rnacentral:rRNA from 1 species